AUCCCGGGGUGAGGGCAUUUGCAAAGUAACUCUUUAAACCUUUCUUAUGCCUCGUAUAAGGAUUCGUCAUCCAUUUGCUAAAAAGUGGUGAUCUUAUUCCGCAACU
rfam:Gossypium arboreum cultivar AKA8401 contig_102278_1, whole genome shotgun sequence.